UUACAUAUUUUUCAAUUCUGAAAAUGUUUCUCAGGGAAGCAGUGCUGUAUCUGGGAUAGAGGAAAUGAGGGAUGCCUGCCCUUGCAGUCUGACUGGCCUACAUUCGGUCCUCCAAACUUGUCCCCUCCAGCCCAGCCAUCCUGUCCCCUCUGGCACUCACAGGCCGGGGCCUCUAGCAGCAGGCUCCUCUCCAGCCUCCCUACUUCGGUGAUGUAGUUGGGUGAGAGUGGGAGGAGGCUGAGAAUGAGGAAGUGGAAAGCAAAUGUGAGGGCCCCAGAGAAGUCCGGUCCAGAAACCUCAAUGUUUCAGCAGCACACUCCAUGCGAGAGGGACGUGCAGGGUGCCUGUGGAACACACCUAUCAGGCACCAAGCCUACAGGUGCCAAGCUGUGCCGCUGGACAAGCCGCCGCUCUGCACUAGGUUCCUGCACGUAAGUCACUCCACAUAAUCCACAACCCAAACCCGUGAGGUAGGUGUUAUCAUCCCAUGCCACAGAUGAAGACACUGAGACACACAGACACGGAGCAACUGGCAAUAUAGUGCAACAGUUAAUAGUGUAGGAUCUGGAUUUGUUUAAAUUGGGUUUAAAUUGUGGCUUCCUUACUUACUGGUGCAACACUGGGCCGGUUACCUUCUUUAGCUUCAGUUUCCUCAUCUGUAAAAUGCGGCUAAUUCACUUACAGGGUUAUUGAGAGAGUUAAAAGAGAUAAUGUGUAGAAGGAGCUUAGCAGAGUGCCUGGCACAAAGGAGGAAUGAACAGAACUAUGAUAUAGGAACUAUGGAGUUCCAAGGUUGACAGCUAGGACAAGGUGGGAGUGGUAGGGAACAACUCAUCUUGGCAAGCUGGGAGCAGGCCAUCAAGCUGACGGUGCAGAUCGGUGCUGUGUGAAGACUCACUGGAGUGCUGGCCUGGUCGACUCUGAGACGUGGGCACCCAGGCAGUCCUGCCACCCUCGCACCUUUGCCCAGAGCUCUCUACCUAUCUGUGGCUGCCUCAAAGGGCAGUGAUUCCUGACAGGGAGCAGCUGGAUCCCUGCACAUGAGGAAGCUUCAGCCCAGCUUCAGCGCCGGCCCGCAGAGGCCGCAUUGGCUGGCAGCAGCAGUGGCAGCCAAUGGGCAGCGAAGCCUGUUGCUAAGGUCACUGGUGAACCUUAUUUGGCGACAUCGGGCUGACCCUGCAUUCACCUCUGAGAACUCUGGGAAACACCAACCACAGAUGUGAAGUGAACGUCUCAAAACCACAACUGCACUUCCUUUGAGAAAAGAUUCGGCUCUCCUCUCCAGCCUGCCUCUCUCGGGCUGGAUGCCUUUUGUACAGUGGCUUGCAACCUCAAGAGAGAAGAGGCUUGGCGGGGAGUAGGCUACACGCCCGUCCUGGGCAGGCCUCUCCCGCCCCUGGGAGAGGGCAGGGGCUACUGCACAGGCGGCCCCAGGACCCACCAAGGACCUGAAAGGCUUCUGUUCUCUCCCCAGCAGCUGCCACCCUCCGGCCCAAGCCUCCCUGCACACACCCUCGAGUGUUCCUGGACCCACUUCCUGUAGCCUUGGGAAGCUGCUGGUAUGAGGAAGACCCAUGGCACGCAGGGAGGAAGUGGGCCUUGCCCAGGCCCUUAACAUUUGCACUGGCCACACUGUUUCAGUGCAGCCUACUGCUCAAACGGUUGGCGGUUUCAGUUUUUCACCUUCCUUUGGUGCAUCUUCUAGCUUAACAUUAAAUAAGUAAAACUGUUGCCCCAACCCAGACAAAUGUGGGAGGGAAGCUGUGCCUUCAACAUUUCCAAAAUAAUACUCCCCUCUUUCCUCAUAUUUGUAUAGCACCUUCGAGUCUGGGAACUGUGCUCAUAGCUGCCAUCUUGUUGGAUCCUCACAAGCCUUGCUAAGUGUCUGUUGAAACCUGGUUGCAUCAUCUUGUAAUGGGUCUUCAAUUGACCAAACCCAACUGGCAGCAUGAGGGCAUGGAGGCUGGUUGAUGCAAUCCACAAAGGUCAAACACUGGGGGUGUGGGAAAGGGUAGAAAAUGGGUAGGGGCAGGCUGGUGGGGGGACACCCGGCAUGGUCAUCUAGUUUAGUAGCCAUUUAAAAGGAGUAAAUUAGAAGUUAAUGUGCUGUAAUGUGGCACCCUCGCCACAAAUAAAUGGGACAAGAGGUAGUCAGAGACAGAGAUGACCAUGAGAAAAGGUGUUAAGGAGGUUUAGCACAGUGAUCUGAGUCCCCAACAUGAAGGGGGACAGAUAGCUCUACUCAGUGUAAUAAUUCCAAGGUAAACAUGUAUGUUCAUAAAGAUGAUUCUAAAUUAUCAGCAAAACAUUAAAUGUGGUCACUGUACUACUUGACAGAGCUUCAACAGGGGAGAAGAUUAUGACACAAUUUAGAGACACCAUAAAUCCAUCCAAAAGAAGUGUAACAAGCUUUGGGUUAAACAUGUCAGGUUAUUCACACAUCUCAAUCUCCUUUCUCUCCUGAAGUGCCACUAAAAUGCCAGUCAUAAAGUAAAAUGGUAUAAAUCCUCAAGAGCAAACAGAAUGGUAAAGAGACAUCGGUGGACGAGAGAUUGGCCCGCAGAGGGGUAUACUGACAGGAGGCAAGCCACUUCCCCCUCAGAACCCUGGGGGAGCUAAGACCUUGGGGAGACCAGGUAUUAUGACAGUGGGGGUCAGGUACCGAGUAGGUGGGGUAAGGAACCAGGGCAAAUGUUUGGAAUCCUCCCAGAUCCCACCCCAUACUCUGUCCCACACACCAGGAGACUGAAGACACUAAACAGGAGAGACCCUGGCAAGAGAGAAGGCAAAUGACCACAAGGAUGAAAACAGAGGGAUGAGGGCAAAGUCUGAAGACUGAACAGUGGGACUCAAUGUUCCCCCCUUUGCAUACCCCACCCUGCCGCAGGCACAUAUCACCUUGUACCAGAGUACAGUGAGUUUAAAACAUGGCUGCAAUUUUUUUUGACACUUCUUCCAUUGAGAGGUAGGUCUCUGUCUCCUUCCCCGAAUCUGGGCGGGCUUGUGACUAUAGUGGAAGUGAUGCCAUGUGACAUCAAAAGCCAGGCCAUAAAAGGCCAUGCAGCUUGCAUAUUGCUGGCUGGAAUAUUCACACUGGAGUCCUGAGCUACCACACAAGAGGUCCAACUACCAGACUGUUGUCCUAGAGAGGCCGUGUAUAGUCUCUCUGGUCUCCAGUCCCAGCUGCACCCCCUCUUCCAACUAUCCCUGCCAAGUGAAGAACCAACUUGGAAGCAGAUCCUUCAGCCCCAGCUGGUUCCAACUUCCAGACAUCUCAGCCUAGGCCCCAGACACUGUGGAGCAGAGAAGAGCCGUGCUUUUUCCCAAUUCCUGACUUGAAGCACAACAAAAUGGUGGUUGUUUAUGUACUAAGUAUUAGGGUGGUUUGUUAUGCAGUAACAGUAACCGGAACAGGGAGUUAGAAUGCUUCUCCUGAGAAGCCACAUGGCUCUAGAGCAAUGGUUCUCAACAAGGUGAUUUUGCCCCCCAGGAGACAUAUGGCAACGUUUAUUGACAUUUUUUGAACUCUGGGAAGGGGGUUACUAUUGGCACCUGGUGGGCAGAGUUCAGUGAUACUGCUAAACAUUCUACACUGCACAAGAGCUUCUGACAACAAAGAAUUAUUUGGCUCCAAAUGUCAACAUGCCAAAGUUGAGAAAGUCAGCUCUAGAGAAAAGAGUCUGACAUUCAGAUGCUUGUUAAUGAAAAGACUAGCUAGCUUCCUAUAGUGAUGCCCCAGUUGAUAAGUUUUCCCCAAAUACAGUUUAAUUCAGCUUUUCAUUGCUUCAUUCAUAAAUAUCAAUAGUUUUUUUUUUUGCGGUACGUGGUCUGUCACCACUGUCACCUCUGCCGUUGCGGAGCACAGGCUCCGGACGCGCAGGCUCAGCAGCCAUGGCU